rnacentral:rRNA from 1 species
ACUCCUACGGGAGGCAGCAGUGGGGGAUAUUGCACAAUGGGGGAAACCCUGAUGCAGCAACGCCGCGUGAGGUAUGAAGGCCUUUGGGUUGUAAGCCUCUGUCCUAGGGGAAGAAAAAAAUGACGGUACCCGAGGAGGAAGCCCCGGCUAACUACGUGCCAGCAGCCGCGGUAAUACGUAGGGGGCAAGCGUUAUCCGGAAUUAUUGGGCGUAAAGAGUGCGUAGGUGGUCUACUAAGCGCGAGGUGAAAGGCAAUGGCUCAACCAUUGUUAGCCUUGCGAACUGGCAGACUUGAGUGCAAGAGAGGAAAGCGGAAUUCCUAGUGUAGCGGUGAAAUGCGCAGAUAUUAGGAGGAACACCGGCGGCGAAGGCGGCUUUCUGGAUUGUAACUGACACUGAGGCACGAAAGCGUGGGUAGCAAACAGGAUUAGAUACCCUUGUAGUCC